rnacentral:rRNA from 1 species
CUUACCGGCGCGGUGGCCUGGUCUUCAUUGAUCAAGCUCGCUGUCGCUGGAGACUCCACGUCCGCUGGCUCCUAGUCCUCGUGGCUAGGGUUUUGUGGACAAUUACCAUGAGCAAAUCAGAGUGUUUAAAGCAGGCUUUUAAGCUUGAAUGUGUUAGCAUGGAAUAAUGAAAUAUGACUUUAGUCCUAUUUUCGUUGGUUUAGGUACUAUAGUAAUGAUUAAUAGAAACGGUUGGGGGCAUUUGUAUUUGGCCGCUAGAGGUGAAAUUCUUGGAUUGGCCGAAGACAAACUACUGCGAAAGCAUUUGACCCAGGACGUUUUCAUUGAUCAAGGUCUAAAGUUAAGGGAUCGAAGACGAUUAGAUACCGUCGUAGUCUUAACCACAAACUAUGCCGACUAGAGAUUGGGCGUGUUUCUUUUGACUCGCUCAGCAUCUUAGCGA